rnacentral:rRNA from 1 species
AAUGAACGCUGGUGGCAGGCUUAACACAUGCAAGUCGAGCGUGAAGCAUUCUUCGGAAUGUGGAAAGCGGCAAACGGGUGAGUAACAUGUGGAAACGUACCUUGUAGUUUGGGAUAGCCUUUGGAAACGAAGAUUAAUACCGAAUAUUCUCUAAGGAGGAAAGAUUUAUCGCUACAAGAUCGGUCCGCACUAGAUUAGCUUGUUGGUGAGGUAAUGGCUCACCAAGGCUACGAUCUAUAGCUGGUUUGAGAGGAUGAUCAGCCACACUGGGACUGAGAUACGGCCCAGACUCCUACGGGAGGCAGCAGUGAGGAAUAUUGCACAAUGGGGGAAACCCUGAUGCAGCCAUGCCACGUGUGUGAUGAAGGCCUUCUGGUUGUAAAACACUUUUAUUUGUGAAGAUAUUGACAUUAGCAAAAGAAAAAGCUCCGGCUAACUUCG